rnacentral:rRNA from 1 species
ACACAUGCAAGUCGAACGGCAGCACGGACUUCGGUCUGGUGGCGAGUGGCGAACGGGUGAGUAAUAUAUCGGAACAUACCCAGUAGUGGGGGAUAACUAUCCGAAAGGAUAGCUAAUACCGCAUACGAUCUGUGGAUGAAAGCAGGGGAUCUUCGGACCUUGUGCUAUUGGAAUGGCCGAUAUCUGAUUAGCUAGUAGGUGAGGUAAAGGCUCACCUAGGCGACGAUACAUAGCCGACCUGAGAGGGUGAACGGCCACACUGGGACUGAGACACGGCCCAGACUCCUACGGGAGGCAGCAGUAGGGAAUCUUCGGCAAUGGGGGCAACCCUGACCGAGCAACGCCGCGUGAGUGAAGAAGGUUUUCGGAUCGUAAAGCUCUGUUGUAAGAGAAGAACGGGUAUGAGAGUGGAAAGUUCAUACUGUGACGGUAUCUUACCAGAAAGGGACGGCUAACUACGUGCCAGCAGCCGCGGUAAUACGUAGGUCCCGAGCGUUAUCCGGAUUUAUUGGGUGUAAAGCGAGCGCAGGCGGUUAGAUAAGUCUGAAGUUAAAGGCUGUGGCUUAACCAUAGUAUGCUUUGGAAACUGUUUGACUUGAGUGCAGAAGGGGAGAGUGGAAUUCCAUGUGUAGCGGUGGAAUGCGUAGAUAUAUGGAGGAACACCGGUGGCGAAAGCGGCUCUCUGGUCUGUAACU